ACUAAGCAAGGAGUGAGAGCUCUGUUGUUCUGCUGAUGGGGCUCAGUCUGUUCUUCCUCUUUUCCAACAAUCACACUUAUUUCCAGGAAAGAGUUAGCAGUAUUGAUAUAGUCCAGGGACUCCUAGAAACACCUGUUGUGUUGCUUUGGUGAGCAGAUGCUGUUCAUCUUCCAUGGCACCUGUAUUUUAUCUGCAUGGAGAAACCUCUACAUGGAUCCCUUGCAUGGGUGUUGUACAAUGGGAGCUUUCAUUCCUGCUUUGGCACCUGCAACCCUGGGUUAACAGUACCAUGGAGCGGAGAAAGCGUUUACCAGAGUGCGGUGCCGCGAUCCCACCCCGUGCAGCAGUUGAGCAGAGGUCAUCUUUAAGUAAAAGCCAUCUGAUAUUUUACUGCAAGCAUGUGGCAGUGAAGACGACAAUGACUGCUAGUAUGGUUUGUGCCACUGCCUUGAUUUCCGCUCAGGCACCAGCAGUCUUACCCACCAUUGCUUUGGUGCAGUUGGUGGAGAUAUCAAUGGAUCAAAAGCGCAAGUAAUAUGACUCGGCUCCCUAUGCCCAGUAAAUAUAAAUUUUCAGAACUGUGAUCACAGCCCUGGCUAAAUAGUGCCCCUGGUCAAACCUUCGUAGGCAAAAUGUUUUCUCCAGCUUUCUGCUAGUUCUUAGAAGCCAGUGUGAAGGAAAAGGGAUGUCAUGAAGCAUCACUCUCCAAGCUGAUCAUCUAUUCCAUUGCCUUGAGAAUUAUGUAGAAUAAAAUCACUGUCUCCCUAAAUGAUAAAAGUCUAAGACUUUGUCCCAAAGUUGGGUGUUCUCUGAGGAAUUGCUGGAGACACUAUUGCCCCCUGUGGCUAGGUAAGCUUUCCAGACACAAUCCAAGGGAAGGAAAUGCCUUUGGUGAAGGAGGAGAGACUCCUACGUGGCAUGGGGACCAGCAGCUGAGAGUGGUUGUAUGGGUAAUUCACACCAAAAGCACUCCAAAUGCUACUUUCAUCUAAAUGGACUAUAAGGGUUGUCAUCAGGCCAGGGAGAUGUAGAUAUUUCAAAUCUGAAUUUCACAGUAUUAGCAUUACAUCAAGCCAAAAAGAUUAAGAAAGUAAAUGACUGUAAUUUGUCUAAAGCAGAAUGUUUGCUAAAACCAGGCAGGUCUCUAAAAAAAAAAAAAAAGAGACAGCAGUUGAAAUU
rnacentral:lncRNA from 1 species